AGGUUGGUGCAAAAGUAAUUGCAGUUUUUGUCAUUACUUUCAAUAGCAAAAUCUGCAAUUACUUUUGCACUAACCUAAUAU
ensembl:miRNA